rnacentral:rRNA from 1 species
AGUGAACGCUGGCGGUAGGCCUAACACAUGCAAGUCGAACGGCAGCACAGUAAGAGUUUGCUCUUACCGGUGGCGAGUGGCGGACGGGUGAGGAAUACAUCGGAAUCUACUUUUUCGUGGGGGAUAACGUAGGGAAACUUACGCUAAUACCGCAUAUGACCUACGGGUGAAAGCAGGGGAUCUUCGGACCUUGCGCGAUUGAAUGAGCCGAUGUCGGAUUAGCUAGUUGGCGGGGUAAAGGCCCACCAAGGCGACGAUCCGUAGCUGGUCUGAGAGGAGGAUCGGCCACACUGGAACUGAGACACGGUCCAGACGCCUACGGGAGGCAGCAGUGGGGAAUAUUGGACAAUGGGCGCAAGCCUGAUCCAGCCAUAUCGCGUGGGUGAAGAAGGCCUUCGGGUUGUAAAGCCCUUUUGUUGGGAAAGAAAAGCAGCAGGUUAAUACCCCGCUGUUCUGACGGUACCCAAAGAAUAAGCACCGGCUAACUUCGUG